ACCAGCUUUAUGUUGAUUUUCAAACUGCUUGUAUUCUCAGGUCAGCGUUAGACAGGUACACCGCAACCUUUUGGAGAAGACGGACCGUCCCGAAGACUCGUCUUUACUUUUGUUCAUAUUACAUAUGUAAAACACCUGUACAACUUUUCUAUUAAACAGAUGUAAACAAUAUUAUGUAAUGUAAUGUUUUGUGAUUACUGCUUUACUAUGUGCAUUGGAUUUGAUACUCAACAUGGAGUCAACCCCGGAAAUGUUUCCGCCUUUGGUUUUUGGGGUGUGACAGAUUGGUAUCAAAGCCCUUGUUUAUAGUGAACUGGUAUACCAAAGCUUACAUGGUAUAAGAGUAUAAACAUUAAAGGGCCUAAGUGCUCUGAACUAAAAGUAUACCCUACGAGUAUAAGUAUUUUCUAAAAGUAUACAAGUAUACCGACCGUCGAGAUCCGUAACUACAAGUNAAUCCGUAACUACAAGUAGAACAAAACAUAAGUAAAUGGGUGUUGUACGCUGCGGUUAAACCUGGGCAGUUAUGUAGUCGUGUCUAGGAUCAAUAUAGCCUGGCCAACUAUAUUCAUUCGAGACACGACCAACAUGUGCCUGGGAGUGACUGUGGUAUGCGGCAUGCCUAAAACUUACCCUAAUACCACAAACAUCGAAUCAGCGUCGUAACAAGUCAUGAAAUACUAUGGGAGUAUUUCUCGAGCCAAUCCUUGGUAGAAAUCCUCGUUCAUGCAUUGUUCUUUGAUCAUUCCCUUAGCGAUAAUUUUUUUCCCACUUUGAUAACUCUUUCCUGCUUUAUCACUUCUUCGCAUAUAUCUGUCAUAUCUCUUGAUUCAAUUUAGAGGACUUAUCAUCCUCUCUUCCUUGAUCUUAUUAGAUCAAGAUGCCUCCAAGAAAGAGACCCAGCGCUAAGACCAACAACCCUCCGCCACCACCUCCUCUUCAAAUCGAUCUGGAAACUCUUUAGGCAACCAUUUCUGCCACAAUAUCAGCUCUCCUACCUCAAUUUAACCCCAAUGGUCUAGGAAGUGGUUCCCAAAACCAAGAAGGUAAUCAGGGACACCGGAAGGAGUGUUCCUAUAAAGACUUUAUGAACGCAAAACCCACAUUCUUCGAUGGCACAGGGGGUGUCAUUGCUCUAACUCGGUGGUUAGAGAAAAUCGAAUCUUUUUUCGAGAUCUGUGCUUGUUCGGAUUCCGACAAAGUAAAGUUUGCCGCCUGUACUCUCCUCGAUAAAGCUUUGACUUGGUCGAACAGCCGAGUCAAAUCCCUGACCUUAUCUGUAGCCAAUGCUAUGGGAUGGGAAGUAAUGAAGGAACUACUACGUGCGGAGUAUUGCCCUCGAGGUGAAAUCCAGAAGCUGGAACACGAGCUAUGGAACCUGAAGAUGAAAGGUUCCGAUAUCGCCUCUUACACUUCAAGGUUUGAUGACCUGGCACUCCUUUGUCCGGGAAUGGUUACCCCGGAAAGCAAAAUGGUAGAAAGGUUCGUUUGGGGAUUAACCCAGACAACAAAAGGGAACGUUAUAGCAGCAAAGCCAGAUACCUAUGACAGCGCCAAAUGUCUAGCGCAAACCCUGAUCGACCACAGCGAAAACCAAGAAGAAGCAGAUGCCACUCCCGAGCCAACAGAAAAGAGUGGCGAGAAAAUAAAGUUUUGGAAGAAGAGGAGGAAGAGUCAGUCUUCCCCAUAACACUCAAAGAAACAGCAAAUAGUGGCAGUCCACGCUACCACUAUCCCUGCUGUUGUUUCUAUUGUCAAUUCCACAUCUCAAGCACCUGUCACCGGAUAUGCCGAUAUCCUCCCAUGGUGUAACCAUUGCAGCUACCACCAUCGCAUCCCUGGCCAUGUCGUGCAAANGUGGCCAGGAAGGUCACCUCGCACGAACCUGCAAAACCCCAACCCCGUCAACUAGUCAGGCUGCCGGAGCAGGUAUCGGUCAAACCUGCUACAGUUGUGGAGAGGUCGGACACUAUAAGCGAAACUGUCCGAAGACAGUAACAUCUGGUAACACCGGGAGAGUCCUAACCAUGGGACAAGAAAGGACAGUCGCUGUUCCCACCGUUGCUACAAGUAUACUUCUCUUCGAUAAAUCUUGUGCCCGUAAUCCUUUCGAUUCUAAUGAUGAAAGAGUUUGCUGAUCGUUCAUUCAAAUAUCUAUCUAGACUAAAUCCUUUGUCAAUAAUUGAAACGUGCACCGUCAAGAUAACUAACCAGUGAGAUAGAGAACACUAACUUCGUACCCGUAGAUUGAUUCAUCAGUCGGGAGGAUUAUCCUGUUCCAUUCGAUCCAAAUGGGAAACUUUUCACAAAACAUUUUGAUGCUAUGAUUGAAAUGAAAUGACCGAGUCUCAUUCAUGUCGACAUCCUUAGAUUUGAAAGGGUUGCCCGUUUAGAUCUUUUCCUCCACCUGACUCUUGUGAUCUUCGGCAUCAAACCUUCAUAUCAUUCCAUGCCUUAGAACUCAAAUGUUUUCCCGAUAUGAAUUACCAUGCAUCCCUCAUUUCUGUGAUCAUUGAGAAACGGGAAGUUAGUAGCUAUUUCCUCUAAAUGUAUUUCCCGAAAGAUUCCCGGGAAUUCCUUCCGAACGUCUAGCUUAGUCCCACAACAGGCUUUUCGCGAUCUUCGUAGGAAUCGAUUCUACAAUCUUCAGAGUUCGGAUGCCUUUAGAGCUUGGUGACAUCUAUUCAGUACAUCACGUCUUAAAUCCUUAGAAGCAUCUACCCAAUGAAAACCUAAUGAUUCCUUUGAGGAAAUUGAAGUCGUCCAGGGUUGGAACUUCCGUGAGAAAACUGAUUGACAUUGUAGAUUGAGAGAAUCAAUGUGCAAAACAAAGACAGGUCCUGGUAAUGAGAAUUCGUUAGAACACCCAGUAGAGACCUGAUUCCACUUGAGAAAGUGAAGAUCCGAGGCAACAAAUCCAUUCGUGUCUCAUUCCAAAUUCAUGAUCUAUAUCUUAUUCUUCGAAUUUCGGGACGAAAUUCCUUCUAACGGGGGGAUAAUGUAACAACCCGAAGUUUUCCAUCGUCGAAAAACCCGUUCUACCCGUAAAAUUCGCCGUUAAUCAAUUCGUUUCGUUUCCGUUUUGGGUUAAUGUAAAUAAAUUUAUACGUUUAUUAUAAUGCAAUGAGUGUCCAAACCCUUUAGGAACUUAUGAAUCUAGCCCAAAAAUGUUUAUUUCAAAAAGUUAGAAACGUCCCCGCCGGGUGACGGAAACUUAAUCGGGUGCGACCUAAAGCCCCGUUUAAGGCCAGUAUCGGGUAGAAUUCCACCGUGUCCAAGUUUUGGGAACUAUAUAAACGUGUUUAAACAUUCAUUUGAAGCUUUUUCUUCCUCUCUCUGCUCUCUCUCUAACCUCUCUCCUAAAAUCCAAAAUUAAGGGUCCAAAUCAUCAAUUUUAGGCUCCAAAUCUUUCAGGUACCUUCCCUAACUUGAUAUGUAACAUUCCUAGCCUUCAAAUUCGAGUUCAAAUCAUAGAAAAGGACCACAUUCAUGAUUUUAUGGCCAAGGAAUAGUCCUAGGCCGUGAACUCAUAUAAAAUGGGUUUUGGAGCACAAAAACCCUUCCUAAACACAAUUGGACAUUAGAUAUGGCUAGAUGGCUUUAUGGAAUGGACCUAGAAUGCCUUAAACUAUAAUUUGGAGACUUGAAUAGGAGUUUACGGCCAAGGAUGGUGUUUAGGCCGUAAACUCAUAAUUAUAGGGUUUUUAAGCCCUUAAACCCUUCCAAAACUACAACAAGACAUGGAUAUGACUUCUAGAAUAAUUGCUUUAGACUUGGAACACUUUAAACAUAAUUUUUGAGGGACUUAUGUGAGUUUACGGCCAAGGCAUGUGCUUGGGCCGUAAACUCCUUGAAUCAUGGUAUAAAUUCAGUUUCAAGGUGUUAGAAAGCCAUCCAACACCACCAAAAGCCUUGGAAUAAAUCAUAGGACCAACCAAAAAUAGUUUAAGGACCUUAAACACAUUAUUUGAGGGAUUUAUAUGAGUUUAUGGCCAAGGCUUGUGCUUGGGCCGUAAACUCCUUGAUUCAUGGUGUUAGAAUGCCACCUAAACACCCCUAAGCCUUGGAANUGAAUUUUAGAAGUCCUUACAAUCAAUUUUUUGGCCUUAAAACAUAUGGAAUCACCAUCUAAGAGAGUUUACGGCCAUGAGGGGGGUCUCAUAGGCCAUAAAAUCCAAAAACUUCUUCAAAACUUCAAGCAAAUGCAUGUUGGCUUAGGAAUAAAUUUGGCAAUCACAUGUGAUUUGUUUUGGCAUCAUGUAACACAUUGUUCUUGGGUAUUUAGGAGUUUACAGCCAGGAUCUUAUGCUAGGCCGUAAACUCCCAUAAAUAAGUCAUUUUGAUGUUUAAAAAUCCAUUCCAAGCCUUUGAUCCAAGCCUAGAAAAAUUCCCUUAAGUGGUUGAAGUGAUUUUGCACCAUAAACUACCCCACCAUGAGUUUACGGCCAUAAAAUCAUGGGGAAGGGGUGUUUUAGACCUUAAACCCUUGUAUAAGUUUAUUCAUAGGGAAUAAACUCAAGUCCCAAGUCCCUAGUGUCAUUUCACGUCCUUAAACGCCACCCCAGUCCCUCCAAACACUCGUAAUGGGGUGUUUCCGCGACUACAAGUAUUUGUCCCUAAAAAAUAAUUAAUAUAAGUCCUAAUUAGAUAUAAAUGUGUAUCUUUAAAUUAUACUUAGGAACCUCGUGCAUUUUCAAGCCCCGGACCAACGUUUAGCAUCCGAAAUCGUCACGUUUCUUGUCCGGUGAGUUCAUACCCCUACCCUUUCUCACUGUUUUUAACUGUUUUCAGGGGGGAAUACAAGCAAAAGUACAAUCUUAUCUUGUACUUAAACUGAUUUACAACUUAAUGAUUUUAGUUUCUAAAUGUCAUGAUUUCCAAAGAUUAUGAUAACUGAUGUUUCGAAUUGCAGGUUAAUUAUAGAUUUCUUUUGAAAAGUGUUUUGAUCUAUAUUGUCUUUUGUAAAAGAAAUCAUACUAAUUUUAACGAAUAUACUAAUAAGAAUACGAAUGUAAUCUAGAAAGAAUACGAAUACGAAGACUAAUAUGAAUACGAAUGUAAUCUAGAGCGAAUAAGAAUACGAAUACUAAUACGAAUACGAAUGUAGUCUAGAACUAAUACGAAUACGAAUGUAGUCUAGAACGAAUACGAAUACGAAUGUAAUCUAGAACAAAUACGAAUACGAAUGUAAUCUAGAACGAAUAUGUCUACAAAUACGAAUACGACUACGAAUGCGAAUACGACUACGAAUACGAAAUGACGCCUUUGGUUGACACUAAGACUUCGAAUAUACAGUUAGUGUACCCCUUGAGUGUCACCAGAGUUUCGAAUUUAAAACGAAAAUACGCCUCUAGACCUCUUCUGAGUUUCAAAUAUAUCCGCCUCAGAAUGUCGACAGAGCUUCGAAUACACAUCUAAUAUACUCCUUUGGAACUCAGCAGAACUUCGAAAAAACUAUAAAGUACACUUCUGUGUGAUUCCAAAUAUUCGAAAUUACGACUAAGUUAGUAGAUUAUAGUCAUCCGAUUGUAGAAUAACUAAGGAAGUAGAACACAUAAUUAAUACUACUCACAUGGUAAUUACUGGUAUUUCGAAAUCAGACUUAAGAACAAAACACUCAACAUAUAGGAAAAUAUGGGAUUUUCCUGGGAUAACAUUAAAAAUCAGUAACGAACCUAGAUACUAAUAAACAACUCAACACAUAGGAAAAUAUGGGAUUUUCCUGGGUAACACAACAACACAUAAACGAAUAAAGAAACGAACGAAUAACUAAAACUAUAAGGAAAAUAUGGGAUUUUCCUGGAAUGACAUAACCAACCGUUUUCGAAAUUUUAACAAAGGAUAACCAAACUGUUUUCAUAAGAAAAUAUGGGAUUUUCUUCAUCAACAACUUUUCUUGAACGUAAAGGAACUCGUCUUUUCAAAACUAAACCGCUUAUGAACUCAUCAGGUUUAUGCUGAUUUUCAAACUGCUUGUAUUCUCAGGUCAGCAUUAGACAGGUACACCGCAACCUUUUGGAGAAGACGGAGCAUCCCAAAGACUCGUCUGUACUUUUGUUCAUAUUACAUAUGUAAAACACUUGUACAACUUUUCUUUUAAACAGAUGUAAACAAUAUUAUGUAAUGUAAUGUUUUGUGAUUACUGCUUUACUAUGUGCAUUGGAUUUGAUACUCAACAUGGACUCAACCCCGGAAAUGUUUCCGCCUUUGGUUUUCGGGGUGUGAC
rnacentral:lncRNA from 1 species